UCCUGUGCACAAAAACAGAACAAAACAUUGAGAUCGUGGUCGACACACCGAUAACGAAGCGCUAGUGAAUUUCUUCAGCAAACUAUGAACGGUGACGAUUUCAUUGUCGCUUUUCGAUGCGUACAGAACGUGCGCUAUAAAAAGUCAAAAGAAAAUAUUGCCAUCUAAUAGCUCCGGUAACCAAGGUAAUAAAGUCAGAUCGGGGCGGGAGUUGUUUAAAAGGAAACGCACAAAGUCAAUACAGGGUAUUCGAAACAAACAAAUGUACAUUGAACCGCAACGAACACACCGUGAGAAUCCAAGGAUGUUUAAGGCACGAUUCAGCAUUCCCUCUCUCCCUGAAACGAAAGAAAUGACUUUUUUUCUUUCUUUCAUAUCGGUUUACGCGAACGCUAAUAAAGACUCUACGAAUGAGUCUUGUGGCUUUCUCGCAAACUUACUUCGGA